rnacentral:lncRNA from 1 species
AAAUUUAAUUAAUUAAGUAGGGAGUUUAUAAAUUAUUAUUAUUCUGGGGAGUGUUGAAAAUCGAAGAGGUUGUGUGUGUAAGUCUGUGUGAGUCCAAAAAAAAGCAUUUAAAUGAAAUUCAAAUCGAGAACGAAGUGAUUGAUUCUUUGACCGUCAAUACACCUUUUGUCACUUUCAAGAAUUGUUAAGGAACUAGUGCGCAUGCUUCUAUUUUUUAGCGCAUGCGCACUAAUUCGUUACUACAUUCAAGCGGGAGGGAAUGAGGCACUUUUCUCCCUGGCACAGAUUCAACCGGGCGGGAAUGGGGCACUUUGCUCCCUGAAAACAGGGAGCAAAAUACGUACUUUCCAUCCAG